GACGAACGCUGGCGGCGUGCUUAACACAUGCAAGUCGAGCGGAGCGGCGAACGGGUGAGUAACGCGUGAGUAACUGCCCCCCUCUCUGGGAUAACAGUUGGAAACGGCUGCUAAUACCGGAUAGUGGGGGAUGACUCGCGUCCUAUCAGCUAGUAGGUGGGGUAAAGGCUCACCUAGGCGACGAUCUCUAGCUGGUCUGAGAGGAUGAUCAGCCACACUGGGCUGAGACACUGCCCAGACUCCUACGGGAGGCAGCAGUGGGGAAUAUUGCACAAUGGGCGCAAGCCUGAUGCAGCCAUGCCGCGUGUAUGAAGAAGGCCUUAGGGUUGUAAACCGCUUUCAGCCAUGACGCGGUAGUGGCAGAAGAAGCACCGGCUAACUACGUGCCAGCAGCCGCGGUAAUAC
rnacentral:rRNA from 1 species